AUGGGAGCCAUACCAUCCGCUGGAAAUACUUGAACAUGAACAACCCUUAACCUCUAAUUUGCAAAAAAAAAGUAGAGGGGCAUUGAUAUUACAAACUUUAAUGAAAGAAAGUUUGAAAGACAAGAAAAUGAAUGUAUUUAAAAUGAUUUUAUAAUGUACAUAACAAACUUAUCACGGUACUAGGACACCUGUUGUGAAACAAACUGAGCAUUUUCAAAAAAGAAAUAAAGAAUAUGUUUUUA
rnacentral:misc_RNA from 1 species